GCCCGGGUGGUGAAAUUGGUAGACACAACGGACUUAAAAUCCGUCGCUCCUUCAUCGGGGCAUACCGGUUCGAGUCCGGUUCCGGGCACCA
rnacentral:tRNA from 1 species